rnacentral:misc_RNA from 2 species
AAUUCUCAACUUUAUAAGUUUUUACUUAUUAAAGCUUGGAUGUUGGAGGCUUGCAGGCGUUUGUCAGCUCCUCUUAAAUUUAUUAGUGGGAACCCUGUUUUGUUAGUUCUAACCUUGGUGUGAUAAUUAUCUACAUUUUGGUGGAACCUUACAAUAAUAAAGCUCUAUUGGUUUGGGUUGUUGCAUUUAGUUUGCUCAAUCUGUUCUAUUCAUUGGAGAAAAAGGGAAGUUCCGCUUUCUAACUGUCUUGAUUGACUAUAUAUAACUUAUUU